CUUGGGAGCUAAGUGGCAGCUAUACUUCACUACUAUGGCAGUAAAGAUGACUAUAAAGACUGGCGGGGGAUGGAUCCUUUCAAAUGUACCUGAGCUGGGAUGCCCAGCUUGUGGAACGCACAGCAGGAGGUGAGCAGUGGCCAAAGGAACAUCUGAAGGAACACCUGAUGAGGCUGCACCCUUGGCGGAAAGAACACCUGACAUGGCUGAAAGCUUGGUGGAAAAACCACCUGAUGAGGCUGCACCCUUGGUGGAGGGAACAGCUGACAAAAUUCAAUGUUUGGGGAAAGCAACAUCUGGAAAGUUUGAACAGUCAGCAGAAGAAACACCUAAGAAAAUUAUGAGGACUGCAAAAGAAACAUCUAAGAAAUUUGCAUGGCCAGCAAAAGAAAGACCUAGGAAGAUCACAUGGGAGGAAAAAUAAACAUCUGUAAAGACUGAAUGCGUGGCAGGAGUAAUACCUAAUAAAACUGAAGUUUUGGAAAAAGGAACAUCUAAGAUGCUCACGUGUCCUACAAAAGAAACAUCUACAAAAGCAAGUACAAAUGUGGAUGUGAGUUCUGUAGAGUCUAUAUUCAGAAGGAAGCAACAAAGACAGCAACUGAACAACAAGAAAAUGAUAUUGGAAUUAUUGAAUGAGCGCCAUAAGAUCUAACAAAUAAGAUGCCCACAUCAGAGUCAGGACAAAAAGAAGAUACGAAAUCACCUUCAGUUUCUGAGGUCACAGCUAUGGAUGUGGAAGAGAUAGGAAAGGCCUCACCACUUAAGAUAGAAGCAGCAGCUGCAUAGUGGUAACAGCAAUGAGUGGAUGUCAAAAGACAGAUUCAACUAGCCUAUCAAUAUUCUUGGGUGCAGUUCCUUCUCAUGAAAGAGCAAGGGAACUUAAAAAAUAUCACUGUGAACAACUUACAGCAAAAAUAAAACAAAUGAAAAAUAAGUUUUGGGUACUACAAAAGGAACUAUCAGAAGCAAAAAUAAAAUUGCAGUAAGUGAAUCAAAAGGUUAAAUGGGAACAAGAGCUCUGCAGUGUGAGCUUGGAAUGAAGUUGAUAAUAGUGAGACCUUGUUGGUACAAGACUAUGUAACACAACCUGCACUUCUCAACAAAAAAUUGCUUUUCUGACUUCUGCACUCAGUAGGUAUCUUUGGAAAAUAAUCUCCUAUUGGUACUGAGGCACCCUGGCUAAGUUUUGUAAUUCUUGUUGACAUUUGUUCGUGGUGCCAGAAAAGUAUUAUUAAGUAUUAUUAACUAUUCUAAAGAUAGUUACUUUUCUUUAAGACAGAGUCUCGCUCUGUCACCCAGGCUGGAGUGCAGUGGCAUAAUCUCGGCUCACUGCAAGCUCCACCUCCCGGGUUCAUGCCAUUCUCCUGUCUCAGCCUCCCGAGUAGCUGGAACUACAGGUACCCACCACCAAGCCCAGCUAAUUUUUUUGUAUUUUUAGUAGAGACAGGGUUUCACCAUGUUAGCCAGGAUGGUCUCAAUCUCCUAACCUUGUGAUCCACCCACCUCGGCCUUCCAAAGUCCUGGGAUUACAGGCGUGAGCCACUGCGCCUGGCCAAGAUAGUUACUUUCUUAGUGACACAAGUCACUAUGUCACAAAGUUGAUCCUUGAAUAAGGGUUUUCACUGUAGGAGCCCACUAACAGACAGAUUUUUCUUUUCCUUUGGCACUGCAAGAUAGCAAGACAAAUCUCUCCUCUGCCUCCUCAUCAGACUACUCAAUGUGAAGGCAAUAAGAAUGAAAACCUUUAUGUAUAAUAAUUCACUUCCACUUAAUAAAUAGUGAAUAUAUUUUUUCCUCCUUGUAACAGUUUUCCUCGAGUUCACUUUAUUGUAAGAAUACAGUAUAUAGUACAUAUAAAAUCGAAACUAUGUGUUAAUUGACUAUGCUUUCAGUAAGGCUCCAGGUCAACAGUGGACUAUUAGUAAAGGUUUGGAGGAGUCAAAAGAAACAGAUUUUCAUAUGAAGCAGAUUUUCAGCUGCAUGGGGGAUCAGCACCCUAACUCUCAUAUUGCACAAGACUCCAUUGUAAUUAAUUCUCAUUUACUAAAUGCAAACCGUUUAUUGUAAAAAUUAAAUAGAGCCCAGAAGUUCAAUACCAGCCUGGGCAACAUAAGGAGACCCUGUCUCUAAAAUACAUAAAUAAAUAAAACCAUGUUUCUUCAUAGGUUAUUGUGGGAGUUCAGUCAGGCUGGUGGGAAACAUUUUAAGAUGAAGUUAUAGGACAUAGACACAAAUCUUCUUGGAAUGCCAAAGGUUUUGUAAAAGUCUCAAGAUAGGGUUAUGGCUGAAAGCAGCCUAAUCCUUACCUUGAGUAAGUAGCUUAAAGUGGGUACAAAGAAAGGUAGAGUAGUUUAUCCAAAUAGCUUGUUUACUCAUGUGGUCUUAAGACUACCCUUUGAUCACCCACAGGCAAGAUGGCUCUCCUGGGGUAGGGGCACCCAGAUUAAUUACCCACAGGUGUGUUGGCUCAAAGCCUUUAUCAUUAAAACUUUGCUAAUAAAUGCCCACAGGGCCAGCUAGCCAGGGCUGUGGCUGCUGACUCUUUACAGCACCUUCCUUGGUGCCUGUAAUCGGCUCAGAACCCUUGCUGCUCUUUCACUGAAUAUUGGUGUCUGGGUAUGUGUCUCAUCCGUCAUGCAGCCGGGGUCUGUG
rnacentral:lncRNA from 1 species